rnacentral:rRNA from 1 species
UGGACCUGAUAUCAGGCAA